AUUGGACGCUGGCGGCAUGCCUUACACGUGCAAGUCGAACGGCAGCGGGGGAGAAGCUUGCUUUUCCUGCCGGCGAGUGGCGAACGGGUGAGUAAUACAUCGGAACGUGCCCUGUAGUGGGGGAUAACUAGUCGAAAGAUUAGCUAAUACCGCAUACGACCUGAGGGUGAAAGUGGGGGACCGCAAGGCCUCAUGCUAUAGGAGCGGCCGAUGUCUGAUUAGCUAGUUGGUGGGGUAAAGGCCUACCAAGGCGACGAUCAGUAGCUGGUCUGAGAGGACGAUCAGCCACACUGGGACUGAGACACGGCCCAGACUCCUACGGGAGGCAGCAGUGGGGAAUUUUGGACAAUGGGCGAAAGCCUGAUCCAGCAAUGCCGCGUGUGUGAAGAAGGCCUUCGGGUUGUAAAGCACUUUUGUCCGGAAAGAAAUGGCUCUGGUUAAUACCUGGGGUCGAUGACGGUACCGGAAGAAUAAGGACCGGCUAACUACGUGCCAGCAGCCGCCGUAA
rnacentral:rRNA from 1 species